rnacentral:rRNA from 1 species
GAUCUUGGCUUAGGAUGAACGCUGGCGGCAUGCCUAAUACAUGCAAGUCGAACGGGAGUGCUUGCACUCCAGUGGCGAACGGGUGAGUAAUACAUAGGUAACCUGUCCUUAAGACGAGGAUAGCUUCUAGAAAUGGAAGAUAAAACUGGAUAGGACAUCAUAAAUCACAUGAUUAGAUGUUUAAAAGAGCAAUCUACUUAAGGAGGGGCCUGUGGCGCAUUAGCCAGAUGGUGAGGUAACGGCUCACCAUAGCGAUGAUGCGUAGCCGGUCUGAGAGGACGAACGGCCACAUUGGGACUGAGACACGGCCCAGACUCCUACGGGAGGCAGCAGUAGGGAAUUUUCGGCAAUGGGCGGAAGCCUGAACCCGAGCAAUGCCGCGUGAAUGAAGAAGUAUUUCGGUAUGUAAAGUUCUUUUAUUUGGGACGAAAAACAAAUUGACGGUACCAAAUGAAUAAGCCCCGGCUAACUAUGUGCCAGCAGCCGC